UGAAGGAUAUAGGCUGUCAAUCAUACACAACUAUUAGCCAAUCAUAGCAUUGGCCGUUUACCUCUGAGUGUACAAUCCGCCAUGCCUAUUCAAACAGAGAGUUCUGAUAAAGGGGGUCAAAACUAGUCAGAAAAUAGCCUAUUACUUAUAAAUUAUGUUUUUUUUUUUUUAUGUUAAACACCUCUUUUGAGCAGAUACAGGUCUGUAAUGAGCAUUAAAACAAAGAGCUUUAGGUUAUGUACAACCAUUUGACAUGCUCAAUGUCCAAACUAGUAUCUUGGCAUGGGCUUGGUAUUAUUAAGUAACACAGGAAACAGCUGAUUGGGGUGUGAGUUGUUAGGUCAGAGCCUUUUGACAGGCAGGGAGUUGCAGCCUUUCUCAACCUUGUUCCCCAGCCAGGAUGAACAAUAACAUGCGGACUCUUCUUUCUCUUUAUUUUUUGGCUGUCCUCCUAUCUCGCCCGUCAUAGUCAGCAUAUCAAGUCAUCUGCUCCAGGGACCAGUGCUGUCAUAUCCGACAAGCUGAAGACUCUGGCCCCACGGUGCUUAGUUAAGCAAAGCAUGCAGGAAGGGAUGAAAACAAAGAACAACAUUCUUUACUUCAUAUAGCACACUGAGGUGGACUUCGGGAGAACUACACAGCUGGUCUCUGAGUUUAAUACAGGAAAACGAUAAAGGAAGCCGAUGCUGAUAAGAUCCUUAUGUACAGCGUUUGAACCUCAACGACUGGACAGGAAGUGAAAGGAGCCUGGCGCUGUCACCUUAUUCCAGUUAAGUUCUGCGCCACUCUGAGGCCCUGCAAAUGCUCUUAACUUCCUAUACGUGAUGCUAUCGCACAGACUCAUUGUUGUAGACUCAGGUGAAGCCAUUAUGAUAACAUCACAAAGAAAAGCUUUCAUAAAUUGUCAGCUAUUGUGAUCCUGCCUUUGUGAAGUACUCGGCUGUUUCCUCAGUGCGACUUCGGAAAGAUCUAAUCAGCGUCGAUACUGAUUCUGAGUAACUCUUCUCUAUAAACUCUCACUCCCUUCACUUUCCACAAUCUUUUGUCUGAGUUUGCCAGCUGUUUUUGUCAUUUAUAUAACUUGU
rnacentral:lncRNA from 1 species